rnacentral:rRNA from 1 species
UACAGAGAUGGCAAGCGUUGUUCGGAAUCACUGGGCUUAAAGCGCGUGUAGGCGGGGUGAAAGGUGCCUUGUGAAAUCCCUCGGCUCAACCGAGGAAUGGCUUGGCAAACCGGCACUCUUGAGGCAGGUAGAGGUAACUGGAACCAUUGGUGGAGCGGUGAAAUGCGUAGAGAUCAAUGGGAACGCCGGUGGCGAAAGCGAGUUACUGGGCCUGUUCUGACGCUGAGACGCGAAAGCGUGGGUAGCAAACAGG